AUUCCAGCUCCAGUAGCGUAUAUUAAAGUUGUUGCAGUUAAAAAGCUCGUAGUUGGAUUUCUGGCCUGACGAAACUGACCCGCCGCGGUUACGUGUGUGAGUGUCGGGCUUCGUCUGCCAUCCUUCCAGAAAACGUUUCUACCCUUCACUGGGUUGGAUUCGCGAUCUGGAACUUUUACUUUGAAGAAAUUAGAGUGUUCAAAGCAGGCUUGCGCUGUGAAUACAUUAGCAUGGAAUAAUAAUUUAGGACUCAGGUCUUAUUUUGUUGGUUCUUAAGAUCUAAGUAAUGAUUGAUAGGGAUAGUUGGGGUGCUAGUAUUCAGCGGCCAGAGGUGAAAUUCUUGGAUUCGCUGAAGACUAACUUAUGCGAAAGCAUUCACCAAGGAUGUCUUCAUUA
rnacentral:rRNA from 1 species